rnacentral:rRNA from 1 species
GACAGAGGUGCCGAGCGUUAGGCGGAAUCACUGGGCUUAAAGCGUGUGUAGGCGGGCCGUUAAGUGUCUUGUGAAAUCCCCCGGCUCAACCGGGGAAUUGCUGGGCAUACUGGCGGUCUUGAGCGAUCUAGGGGCAGAUGGAACAAGUGGUGGAGCGGUGAAAUGCGUAGAUAUCACUUGGAACGCCAAAGGUGAAGACAGUCUGCUGGGGAUCUGCUGACGCUGAGACACGAAAGCGUGGGGAUCAAACAGG